AACGAACGCUGGCGGCAGGCUUAACACAUGCAAGUCGAACGCCCCGCAAGGGGAGUGGCAGACGGGUGAGUAACACGUGGGAACGUGCCCUAAGGUUUGGAAUAUUCCCGGGAAACUGGGAGCAAUACCAAAUGUGUCCGCAAGGAGAAAGAUUUAUCGCCUUAGGAUCGGCCCGCGUCAGAUUAGGUAGUUGGCGGGGUAAUGGCCUACCAAGCCGACGAUCUGUAGCUGGUCUGAGAGGACGACCAGCCACACUGGGACUGAGACACGGCCCAGACUCCUACGGGAGGCAGCAGUGGGGAAUCUUGGACAAUGGGCGAAAGCCUGAUCCAGCCAUGCCGCGUGGAUGAUGAAGGCCCUAGGGUUGUAAAAUCCUUUCGUUGGGGACGAUAAUGACGGUACCCAAAGAAGAAGCUCCGGCUAACUUCGUGCCAGCCGCCGCGGUAAGAC
rnacentral:rRNA from 1 species